GCUGAACUAGUUCAGUCGGUAGAGCAUGAUACUCUUAAUCUCAGGGUUGUGGAUUUGAGCCCCAUGUCAGGCG
rnacentral:tRNA from 1 species